GACAAGCGGAGGAGCAUGUGGUUUAAUUCGAUGAUACGCGAGGAACCUUACCUGGGCUUUGAACGUAUGGUGCAUUAGGGUGAAAGCCCUAUUCUAGCAAUAGACUUCAUACGAGGUGCUGCAUGGCUGUCGUCAGCUCGUGCCGUGAGGUGUUAGGUUAAGUCCUGCAACGAGCGUAACCCCUGUUUCCAGUUGCCAUCAAGUAAAGUUGGGGACUCUGGAGAGACUGCCUGCGCAAGCAGAGAGGAAGGUGGGGAUGACGUCAAGUCAGCACGGCCCUUACGUCCAGGGCUACACACGUGCUACAAUGGUCGGUACAGAGGGCAGCUACCUGGUGACAGGAUGCUAAUCUCGAAAACCGGUCUCAGUUCGGAUCGAAGUCUGCAACUCGACUUCGUGAAGCUGGAUUCGCUAGUAAUCGCGCAUCAGCUAUGGCGCGGUGAAUACGUUCCCGGGCCUU
rnacentral:rRNA from 1 species